rnacentral:rRNA from 1 species
GGAUGCGAUCAUACCAGCACUAAAGCACCGGAUCCCAUCAGAACUCCGAAGUAGAGCGUGCUUGGGCGAGAGUAGUACUAGGAUGGGUGACCUCCUGGGAAGUCCUCGUGUUGCAUUCC